UACGGAGGGUGCAAGCGUUGUUCGGAUUUAUUGGGCGUAAAGCGCGUGUAGGCGGUUUCUUAAGUCUGAUGUGAAAGCCCUGGGCUCAACCCAGGAAGUGCAUUGGAUACUGGGAGACUUGAAUACGGGAGAGGGUAGUGGAAUUCCUAGUGUAGGAGUGAAAUCCGUAGAUAUUAGGAGGAACACCGGUGGCGAAGGCGGCUACCUGGACCGAUAUUGACGCUGAGACGCGAAAGCGUGGGGAGCAAACAG
rnacentral:rRNA from 1 species